CGGCGUUGACUCCAAUUGAACCGCAGGCUUCACCCCUUGUGGUGCUCCCCCGCCAAUUCCUUUAAGUUUCAGCCUUGCGACCGUACUUCCCAGGCGGCAAACUUAACGGCUUCCCUGCGGCACUGCGUUGGCCAUAAGCCAACGCAUCACCGAGUUUGCAUCGUUUACAGCUGGGACUACCCGGGUAUCUAAUCCGGUUUGCUCCCCCAGCUUUCAUCCCUCACCGUCGAACGCGUUCUGGCAGACCGCCUUCGCCACUGGUGGUCCUCGAUGGAUCAGUGGAUUUUACCCCUACCCACCGAAUACCGUCUGCCUCUCCCGCUCCCUAGCUAUGUAGUAUCUCCGGCAGCCCAUCUGUUGAGCAGUUGGAUUUAACCGGAAACUUACAGAACCGGCUACGGAUGCUUUAGGCCCAAUAAACCUCCUGACCACUCGAGGUGCUGGUAUUACCGCGGCGGCUGACACCAGACUUGCCCACCCCUUAUUCGUCUGUGGUUUUACGACUGACAAAAGGUUCCUUUAGCAGGAACCACUCGGAUUAACCUAGUCGUGCUUUCGCACAUUGCUAAGGUUUCUCGCCUGCUGCGCCCCAUAGGGCCUGGGUCCGUGUCUCAGUACCCAUCUCCGGGCUUCUCCUCUCAGAGCCCGUACCUGUUAUAGCCUUGGUGGGCCAUUACCUCACCAACAAGCUGAUAGGCCGCAGUCCCAUCCUAUGGCAAUAAAUUGUUUGAACCAUAAGCCAUUCCAGGCAUCAUGAUCUAUCGUGGUUUAUUCUCAGUUUCCCGAGGUUAUCCACGUCCAUAGGUUAGGUUGACUACGUGUUACUGAGCCGUCCGCCUUGUAUUGCUACAAUGACUCGCAUGGCUUAGUACCAAUCCGAUAGCAGUCAGGUCCGGCAGGAUCAACC
rnacentral:rRNA from 1 species